CAGAGGGACAAGCCAGGUGCAGCAGCAGACUUUGAUUAAAAAAACAAAACUAACGUCCAGCUAAAGAUUAGCUUGUAGAAUAUAAUGGUGACGACACGGCCAGUCCGUCUGAAAAGAAGUGAGCGGUGAAGUAAGCUUUAUUUUAGCCUCACAACAAAUAUUAUUAAGUUAAAAUUUGGAUAAAACAACCAAGCGUUAGCUUGUUUUCGGGAGUUUUAUUCGCGUUAUUAGCUGUGGCGUUUUUGUAAAACUAGCUAGUUAGCCAGCAGCAACUGAGGGACGAGAUGAUCAACAACAGGUGCAGAGAGACAUCAAAUAUGGACCACUUCAUCCCCGUGAGAGAAAGAAGAGCGCUGCCUGUACCUGUCAGUCAUGCACCACAUCCAUCAUUGAGAUCUGGGCUCUGUCCCCUAUGCCUUGUUUCUUCGUCUCAUCGGCCGGUUUUCACAAGUCAUGUGGCUCCAAAGGGCGACUCAUGGGAAACAGCUGGGGGCCGCUCAGCUUUAGAGAUGGUUGAGGCGCCCUCGGGUCCACCCACACCUUCGGGCUCACCCUGUGGUUCACCUUCAGCUUCAACUUGAGCUUCACCCUCUGUGUCCUCCUCAGCUUCAGGAGUCAAAGAUGAAGCUGAUGUUGUAGCUAUUCAGCAACACAGAGUAUGUGUGGAUGUCAAGCGAGUACAGAUUUUCUCGUUAACCACUUGUAGAUGGGGUCGUUCUCUCGGAUGGCUAAAGAAAUUAAGAUGAUGUCACGUCUUCAAGGUAACAUCGUCUGUUCUCCAGCAGCCACGUUACUGACAUUGCUUAAAGUUGUUUUUUUCACUUUCCGCAGUUGUUAGACACAUUAAAAUCACACUGAAGCUCAUUUAAAUUAACAGAUGCUUUCAGUGUGACAACCUUCCGUUGCUUUGUCACCACUUUGAGUGUUAUAAAAGUACCUAAAAGUCAUACUUGAGUAGAAGUCACCCAUAGGAGUAGUUCUCGAGUAAAAGUAUCUAAAAAUAAAUGUACUAAAUGAAAGUAAAAUUCAACAUAUUUACCUGUAUACUAUACACCUGGCUGAUUAUCACAUCCAAUAUUCACCAUUGAAAUAAGUUAAUUUAUAAAUAAUACUACUUUGGUUCUGAUGGAGCCUCCAAUGUGCAAAGUGACUAAUAACUACAGUUAUUGAGAGCAAGUGCAGUACAACACUUGCCUCCAAAAUGUACUGGAGUGGAACUAUGAUGUAGCUUGUGUGAUCCAACAAAGAGUGAUUACAACUCUUUAGUUUUUUUUUCUGAACAGAUGUUAAAGACGACCCCAAAUCACUGAGAUGCCAGUUCACAUGAAACUAAUAAUAUCACAUGAGCGUGUUAUGUUAUUUCUAGUGGAAUCUUUACUUCACGCGGUACAAACAUGGCAGAUUUGCAUGAGAUUAACACCACAGACAAUUACUGGAAUCGUUACGAGUUAUUAGUGUCUGUAGGUAAUACAAGUCCUGUGCGACGAGGGCUUUGGUAUUCGUUCCAUUGUUUUCCUCUUCCUUCCCUCACCUUUCCUUCUCCCUCCUCUCUCCACCUGCACCUGAUCCCCUCCUCUGUGCGUGUGAAUAUAGUCUUUGUUCUCCCUCAUGUGUUUGUCAGUUCGUUCCGUCUGCCCCCGUGAUGCCACUCCGCGUUCACCUGUGUUCACCUGCGUCGCUACCCCAUCUUUCCCAGCCGCGUCCUCUCCAGUGUCUCCGAGUGUCUCCCCAUGGUGUGUUUCUGUUUUUUGUUCCUCAUGUUUUUUUUUUUUAUUUGUUUUUUUUUUAUUUCUUUGCACUUUGUUGAAGC